CCCUGGUUCCAGAGGUUUAUUUUUCCUCGAGCUCUCCCCUUCGCAAUGAAAAUAAUAAAAAUAAACCUCUGGAACCAGG
rnacentral:miRNA from 1 species